rnacentral:rRNA from 1 species
AAUCAACGCUGGCGGCGUGCCUAACACAUGCAAGUCGAACGAGAAAGUGGGGGCAACCCUGCGAGUACAGUGGCAGACGGGUGAGUAACACGUGAACAACCUACCCUUGAGUGGGGAAUAACACCGCGAAAGCGGAGCUAAUACCGCAUAACAUCUUGAGCUCGCAUGGGCGAGAGAUCAAAGCCGAAAGGCGCUUGAGGAGGGGUUCGCGGCUGAUUAGCUAGUUGGUGAGGUAACGGCUCACCAAGGCGACGAUCAGUAGCCGGCCUGAGAGGGCGAACGGCCACACUGGAACUGAGACACGGUCCAGACUCCUACGGGAGGCAGCAGUGGGGAAUUUUGCGCAAUGGGCGAAAGCCUGACGCAGCAACGCCGCGUGGAGGACGAAGGCCCUCGGGUCGUAAACUCCUGUCGACGGGGAAGAAAGCCGCAAGGUUUGACUGUACCCGUUGAGGAAGCCACGGCUAACUCCGUGCCAGCAGCCGCGGUAAUGUAGCGUACUCG